rnacentral:lncRNA from 1 species
CUUGGUCCCGCCACUCGGGUCCUCUGGCUUCUUCCCAAACACCUCCUCUUUCUCUCGGUGAUUGGCCAAGAGGCAGUUCCCAUAGUAACUGACACCGCGCUCCCACUUCCCAGCCUGGAGGACAGCACCGGCCCUCGUAUUAGCAACCUGGAAGAGAGGGCGCCCAGGUGGGCACUCGCAACUUCUCACGUAUCUGCGCGUUCUCUUCGCUCCCACUGGCGUGAGCCUGCGCUUUCCGCCUUCCUUCCCUCACAAGCCCCCUUGGCAACCGUCGCCGUUGAGACGGAGGGAGACGCCCCCACGGAUUCGCCCCGCCGCGCCUCUCCGCGCGUAGAUUGGCCGGAGCGAGGCGAACGGGCCCGGCCUUGGUAGCCGCCGACCGAGCGCUGGCUGUCCUGGAACCUAGGCGGCGGGAGCCCGGGGCGCCUCGCGGCACGGAAGAGCGGCGAGAUGCUCAACCGCAAGACCAGCCACUUUUUGGGAAUGAGGGUGCAGUCGGAGCUUGAACAUCUCUCCGAGCUGCGGCGGGAAGCGGGGAAGGAUCGCAGCUCAGUGCAUGGGUCGGCCGCGCGGACGCGUGCGAGUGUGCGGACUCAGUGGACGACGGCGGCGGCGGCGAAAGCGGAUGAAGACCCCGGAGCCAACUUGUUUCCGGUGAGGGCGGGACAGUCUGGUCUGCUCGUGAAUAUUUAUAAACCGGCUCCCCCGCAGGCGCCACCUGUCAUUAUGCUUACUAACGUUCGGGACGUCUCCCGGGCUGCUUGGGCGAGGAGAGGCAGGGGUGUGUGACCCCGGUGGUUACUGUGCUCGCGUAGAGCACCUAGGGCCUGCUGAAGCCCUCCCUCGCCCGCGCCUCUCCUUAGUCCUUGAGAUGAGAUGGCAAGUUACAGCGGCUUCUCCGGCCUGCUGGAGAUUCGCUACGGGCCAGGACACCGCAGCUGCCUUCCCCAAUUCGCUUUCUUUCCGCAGCCGCCGCUGCCCCGACCCCGGAUCUGCAUGUGGAAGUACCUGGACGUCCAUUCCAUGCACCAGCUGGAGAAGACCACCAAUGCUGAGAUGAGGGAGUAGGGACUGAGGGGGGCGUGGGAAGAGCUCUUGGCAAAGGCUGAGGGGUCAGGUUGGGAAAACAUGAGGAAUGGCUGACUCCAAAGCAUGUGGUGGGUGUAGGGUGAUGAAAGGAGGCCCAGUUGUCACUCACUCCUCUCUCCCUCCCAAGGGUGCUGGCUGAGCUGCUGGAGCUAGGGUGUCCUGAGCAGAGCCUGAGGGACGCCAUCACCCUGGACCUCUUCUGCCACGCGCUCAUUUUCUGCCGCCAGCAGGGCUUCUCACUGGAGCAGACGUCAGCGGCUUGUGCCCUGCUCCAGGAUCUUCACAAGGCUUGUAUUGCUCAUGGUCAUAAACAGCUGUUGAGUGAAGUGAAUGAAUGGAUACCAGAGAGGGCCUCACUGCUGCAUCUUGCUUUCCCUACCAGCAACCCCCUUGGGCAACGUGGAGGAGUGCUACCGCUACUUCACCAGUGUCCUUUUUUGCCAUGGAGUCAGGCGGCCUCCUUUCAGCAUCGACCUCUUCAAAGAGGAACAGCUGCUGGCCUUGGAAGACUACGUGGUCAACACUUACUUCCGCCACUUCAAGCUCUAUAAAUACGUCUUCACACCCCAGGUGCGGCUGGAUCUGUCUUUGACUUACAUGGGGCUACAGCCACCCAAACUGUGGCCAGAGAGUGAGACGGGUAAGGGAGAGUGCCAGGGCAGGGCUGGGCUGGGCCAGGCCUGGGGCCACAGUCUCUUCCUGCUUCUGGUUUGCAGAGAAAGAAGAAAGCAAGGAGAUGGAGGAGCAGGCAGUUACCCCGCAGAAAGAGGAACUAGAGACAGUGGCCCCACCAGAGCCAGAGCCAAGCCACAUCCACGUCCUCCGAGCCUACAUCAAGACCCAAGUGAACAAAGAGCUGGAGCAGCUCCAGGGGCUGGUGGAGGAGCGGCUCAAGGCCAGCGAGGAAAGGCUCAGCAGCAAGUUGACUGCACUAGAGCGGCCCUUCCAGCUACCUCCGGGUAAAGGCAAGAGCAAGACCAAGUGACCCCCAACAUUUUCCCCAAUAAAGGUCUGGGCCAGAAUGG